rnacentral:rRNA from 1 species
GACGAACGCUGGCGGCGUGCUUAACACAUGCAAGUCGAGCGAUGAAGCUUCUUCGGAAGUGGAUUAGCGGCGGACGGGUGAGUAACACGUGGGUAACCUGCCUCAUAGAGGGGAAUAGCCUUUCGAAAGGAAGAUUAAUACCGCAUAGGUAACAAUUUCGCAUGAUUUUGUUAUUAAAGGAGUAAUCCGCUAUGAGAUGGACCCGCGUCGCAUUAGCUAGUUGGUGAGGUAACGGCUCACCAAGGCGACGAUGCGUAGCCGACCUGAGAGGGUGAUCGGCCACAUUGGGACUGAGACACGGCCCAGACUCCUACGGGAGGCAGCAGUGGGGAAUAUUGCACAAUGGGGGAAACCCUGAUGCAGCAACGCCGCGUGAGUGAUGACGGUCUUCGGAUUGUAAAGCUCUGUCUUUGGGGACGAUAAUGACGGUACCCAAGGAGGAAGCCACGGCUAACUACGUGCCAGCCGCCGCCGUAAGAC